ACUCCUACGGGAGGCAGCAGUGGGGAAUAUUGCACAAUGGGCGCAAGCCUGAUGCAGCCAUGCCGCGUGUAUGAAGAAGGCCUUCGGGUUGUAAAGUACUUUCAGCAGUGAGGAAGGUGGGUAUGUUAAUAGCAUACUCAUUUGACGUUAGCUGCAGAAGAAGCACCGGCUAACUCCGUGCCAGCAGCCGCGGUAAUACGGAGGGUGCGAGCGUUAAUCGGAAUUACUGGGCGUAAAGCGCAUGCAGGUGGUUGUUAAGUCAGAUGUGAAAGCCCGGGGCUCAACCUCGGAAUUGCAUUUGAAACUGGCAAACUAGAGUACUGUAGAGGGGGUAGAAUUUCAGGUGUAGCGGUGAAAUGCGUAGAGAUCUGAAGGAUACCGGUGGCGAAGCGGCCCCUGGACAGAUACUGACACUCAGAUGCGAAAGCGUGGGAGCAAACAGGAUUAGAUACCCCUGGUA
rnacentral:rRNA from 1 species